rnacentral:lncRNA from 1 species
UCUCCUCUACCUGUUUGCCUGUUGCACGCACGGCAAGGUUAUGAAAAUAAAGUUUGUAGUGAGUUUAUUUUGUAAGCUUUGUUGAUGGAACACUGAAGGAUGUUGUAGGACUGUUCAUAACCAGUUUGUAUUUCAUUUGUCAUUUUUUUGAGCUUUCUCUGUUUCUUUCUUGUUUUUAUUAGUGAAAGAAAAAAAAAAUUAUUAUCAUUCAGAGAAUGCAGUCAUGGGAAUACAAAUGAAGCGAAUUUUAGUUUCAUCAUCGAUGUGUUUUUGGCAAAGAAUUUCGAAGAUGUGUGAAUUUGUUGAAUCCGUGAAUUACGCUUCGAUUAAUUUGGUUUGGUCUAGCUCAAAUCAUAGCAUAUUAGGACCAAAUAGGCUAAAGUGUGAGUAUAUUUUUCAGUACAACUGGUAAGUAAUUAAGAGCAAAUAUAGAGUCUUUCUCUUUGCUCUCAUCUCUAUGAUAACAGAUUAAGUUCUUGAUGGCAACUAAGAUAUAUAGAUCAUGUAUUACAAUUUCUCAAAAGAUUUCUGUGAAUUUAAUCUCUGAUGUUUCUAAGUUAGAGACUUUGUUGAUUAAUUUACAAUGGAAAUCAGAUAGAUACUCAUAAUGCAGUGCUAACACCGUUUUUUUUUUUCAAAAAAAAAAGAGUUUCUGAAUUUUAGACGACAAGAAAAGUCAUAAAACUCUUAUCCGAAGAUGAAACCUCCCUACCUGUCUGCCUUGGCCAUGUGGGGGGCUUGUUUGCAGAAACAUGAUAAGCUUAUGUGUUUCUUCCUCACACAUGCGACUGUCUGAUUGAUAGCUGAAAGAAGAAAGAUCACAAAGAGACAUCAUAUACUAAUAUACCACUUUAUUUAUCAGCCAAGAGUUUUGGUCUCAGACGUAUUUUUGAUCUUUGUUUGUUUUUGAAUACAUCAACUUCUCCUUGUCUCUUUUACCACAACUUUCUGCGGCUGCAUUUGCGCAUUGCAAGUACAUUUUCUGAAGAAAAAAAAUUGGUUUUUUUUUUCCUUUUGUUUAAGUAAACGCAAACGCACAAAACUGUGUUUUAAACAAUCAAAAUCUUCAUAAUCAGCCGGAUAACAUGUGGCCGGAUCAGGUUUAAAGUUUGAAAAUUGUAUAGCGAUUAUUUUGAACCGGUUUUUAGAUCCUAUAGCAGAUAAGAGAGAAUGAAGAUUCCGGAAGAAAUUUGAAGAUUCAG